rnacentral:rRNA from 1 species
GGGUGCGAUCAUACCAACGCUAAUGCACCGGAUCCCAUCAGAACUCUGCAGUUAAGCGCGCUUGGGCUAGAGUAGUACUGGGUUGCGUGACCUCCAAGGAAGUCCUAGUGUUGCACCCU